rnacentral:misc_RNA from 1 species
AUUUAGUUUACUUAUCACCUUUUUACAUUUCAAAAGUAACAUAAAGAUAUUUUAAUUAAUUAUUAAUAUUUUUUUAUAAAAAUAAAGCUAUCCAAUCAUUUAGUGCCAAAGACGCAUAGAGGCAUGUUGAAUUCUCCUUGAACCAAAUUGCAAUUUAUAGUUCUAUGGGUUUCUCUCCCAGUCAGCAAACACUGUUCCGUUGUUGUCAACAUCUCAACAUCCCUUUUUCCCUUUUUCCUGUGGUCACCUGUGGGCUGCAGCAUUACCACACCAAGCUGUAAACUUCAGUUUUCACAAGCUACACCUGAGUAGACAUACUCAGGAGCAAGAUACCAAAUCGUUCCGGCUAGUAUAGUAGGCUUAGUAGCUUCUUUUGCUAUGCUGUCAUAUUCUCAGUGCUUCUAUGUGUUGUGCAAGUUCUUUCAAUACCUUUGCAAGGAAAAGAAUGAUUACCCUAACUAAAAAAUAUUUUUAUUUUAAUUGCCAGCAACGCAAACCAUAAAUGUUUUUAUACUCACCAUCUUGGUGUCCUCAAGAGCUGUUUCUAAUGAUUUCAGCUUCUGGAAUGCGAAGAUCAUCUAGCAUGAGAAUGACGGGCAUUUAACUUGUAAGAAGCAAGUGAUGUGUGAACAUUACUUACAAGGUUGGUGUUUGUGAGUGAUGCUUCCAGUGCCUGUAUUUUCUGAGCCUGUAGCUUGUUAAUAAAUUUGGUUUCCCCAAAUUCAAAAUCUUCUCGUCCUGUGGAGGUCGCAUUGGCACCUGCACUUUGGCCACUAUCCUACAAUGUUAAGCAGGUAAGAAACUUUAGUGAAGCACAAAAUAUGAGUGAAUUUUUUGCAGGAACAGGAAUCCUUCAAUCAAUUAUUCUAGUUUAAAUGUCAUGUAAAGGUCUACAAAGGUAAUUGGUUUGGGACUUUUAGUCCUCGAGGCAUUAUCUGGGGCACAAAAUUGCCCAGGUAUAAUAUUAUACCAAUGCUAUCAUAAAUUAGCAAGCUUUUAUAAUGUGGAAAAUGUUCAACAUGACCUGUGGGAAAUCAACCAAUCAAUAAUGUGCAGGAAACGGGCUAAAGCAUCAUAUUAGUUACCAGUGUCUCCUCUGAAGCCGCACCACUGUUUUCCCCAUUAUUGUACACUUCUUCAGUAGCAGAAACUGCCUGAAGAAUUUCUUUGAUUUCUGGGUUGUUCCAGGGUCCUUUAUCGCUAAAUAAGCAACCUCCAUAAUCAGAACAUGUACAGUUCCCUCCCAGAAAACUUGGCAAAUUAAUAUGCUCAUGGAUAUGCAUAGGCAUGCCACCUUGCAUCUAUAGCUUCAAGCAGGUUAUUUUGGUAGUUGUAUCCCAGCACCUGAAAUUGAAAAUGCAUCCUUUUAAAACAACACUAGUAAUGCAUUUUGAGACGCAUAUAACAAGUGCAGCAAUUAAAGCUAUUGCAUAUGUGAAUAUUGUUCCGAGCAGAGAAAUUCUUAAUUACUUGAAUCUUUGCUAAUGUACGUGCAUCAAGAAAAGCCCUUAGAGCUUUCCACAGCAUCCUGAACCCAGAUCCGGCAUUGACUAUAAAGAGCUGAUUUAGAGUCUGAAAAUUUCAAUCACCAAAUAUCAUUCAAUGAUAUGUGAUGCAUUGAAGCAUGUGCUAAUUAAGCUCUAUGCCUUUAGAAAAUAGCACUAAUAGUUGUUCAUCUCUCUUUAGAAUGACAUUCUAAUACCUCUGGAUAGUAGUUGCUGUCAAUCUUCUGAAUUUCCAUAAAGAGACAUCUAGCAGGCUUUGAGAAAUUGGACAUUCCCACUCCCUUCACAUCCAAAAUACUUGUUGUGGAAGCAAUAUGCCUCUUUGCUGCAAUUGAACAUGCAGGGAGCCUCAAAUUCAAUGUCUUCUCUUGUUCAGAUACAUGAUACCUGACGAAAUUUUCAAUAGUAGUUGCUUGUAAGAGUAUAUUAAGGUCUACCAUCCCAAUCCUUUCAAUGUAUAUUGGCCUGCCAUAUCUAUCAACCCCAUGAUAUCCAUGAGGAUAGCAUUUUUUUACUUCUGCAUACUCCUCAAAUUUAAAUGCCUUUGGAAUUGCCUCAACCUUAUAAUCCUCUCGCCACUUGAGAUAAUUUACAAACAUUUCUUUGGCUUUCGAAAGAUCGAAGUCCCUCAUUCGCAGAAACCUUAAAAGAGUGUGAUAAUCAGUGUGCUUCCCUAGUAAGAGGCCCUCAAGAAACAGCAGUUCACGGAAAGAUUCAACAAGCUGUUCAUCUUUGGGAUCAUGAGCUCCUUCCAGGACUAUUUGUAAGCUUUGGCUCCUUCCACGUUUCUUCAGCGAAUCCCGUAACUUGAGUGGAUAAGUUAACAUUGAUUUCAUGACUGAAUUAGAUGAUGAAGAAGCCUUGUCUUCUCCUGCAGAGGGAAGAAGCCAAUAGGAUUCAAUGGGUGGAUGAAUGGACUUAGUCCUUUCAGCUGCCGGCUGAGAUUUGUUGGAAAUUGAAGAUUCCUCACCUUCUCCACCUACUCUUGAUAUGAAUAUCUCCCGGUAAGUCUCCUUCGAUUUAACCAUCUGUAUUCAGCUCUACUCAAUAAUAUCCUGACAAAAUCCCUUUCAGGAAUCUGAUCCUACUCCCUUGCAUAGCUUAUGAAACGUAAAAACGAUCCAAAUUUCAUGGUCUCCUUCUAGUUGAUUAUUCGAUCAAACUCAUUUGCUAUAAAUCAUCAACCAGAGGAAGAAAGGAUUCAAAAUUAGCAUUUAGAAUUUUGAUGACAGGUCAGAUGCCAGCCAAAAAAUAAAGAACACAAUGAAGGAAUUUAAUCCAAUUGAAUUUAGAUAAUUAUGGAGCAGAAAAUACACAAUAGAAGGAAAGUAGCAUGUUAAUUAUGAAUAAAACUGAAACUGAACCAGAUGAGGAAAUCGAAAUUUCUUGAAGCAGAAAGAGACAUGAAAUUAAUCUGGGUGGAAUCCAAAUUGCAUGGAGUUGUUGGAAAACUGAAAGGAAACGUGGGGAGAGAUUUAGCAAGAAUAUAUGGAAAAGUUGGAGAAUAUGAAGGCAUCGAAUGCAAUGCUUUGUCUUCCAGAAUUGGGAAUGGAUUCCCAGCUUUUCCUUGGAAUAUAUUGAUCGCGAAGGAAACUCCUAAGGCAAGCAAAUGUUAUAGUUUCAAGAAUCAAAGGAGGAAGACGAU